rnacentral:tRNA from 1 species
AAAAUAGAAUUUUUUAAAAAAAUAUCUGACCUGCAAUUAGAAGAAGGUAUAUUAUACCCUAUUUUA